rnacentral:rRNA from 1 species
CCUACGGGUGGCAGCAGUGAGGAAUAUUGGUCAAUGGACGCAAGUCUGAACCAGCCAUGCCGCGUGCAGGAAGACGGCUCUAUGAGUUGUAAACUGCUUUUGUACGAGGGUAAACGCAGAUACGCGUAUCUGUCUGACAGUAUCGUACGAAUAAGGAUCGGCUAACUCCGUGCCAGCAGCCGCGGCAAUACGGAGGAUUCAAGCGUUAUCCGGAUUUAUUGGGUUUAAAGGGUGCGUAGGCGGUCGGAUAAGUUAGAGGGGCAAUGCCGGGGCUCAACUUCGGAAUUGCCUCUGAUACUGUUCGGCGAGAGGGUAGGUGCGGUAGGCGGAAGGUAUGGUGUAGCGGUGAAAUGCUUAGAGAGCAUACAGAACACCGAUUGCGAAGGCAGCUUACCAAGCUACUUCUGACGUUGAGGCACGAAAGCGUGGGGAGCAAACAGGAUUAGAUACCCUGGUAGUC